UACGUAGGGGGCUAGCGUUGUCCGGAAUCAUUGGGCGUAAAGGGCGCGUAGGCGGUUUGUACAGUCAGGUGUGAAAUUCCCGGGCUCAACCUGGGGGCUGCACUUGAUACGUAUGGACUGGAGUGGGGAAGAGGGUCGUGGAAUUCCCAGUGUAGAGGUGAAAUUCGUAGAUAUUGGGAAGAACACCGGUGGCGAAGGCGGCGACCUGGUCCUUGACUGACGCUGAGGCGCGAAAGCGUGGGGAGCAAACAGG
rnacentral:rRNA from 1 species